AUUGAACGCUGGCGGCAUGCUUUACCAUGCAAGUCGAACGGCAGCACGAAAGAGCUUGCUCUUUUGGUGGCGAGUGGCGAACGGGUGAGUAAUGCAUCGGAACGUACCGAGUAAUGGGGGAUAACUAUCCGAAAGGAUAGCUAAUACCGCAUACGCUUUGAGAAGGAAAGUGGGGGCUCUUCGGACCUCACGUUAUUCGAGCGGCCGAUGUCUGAUUAGCUAGUUGGUGGGGUAAAGGCCUACCAAGGCGACGAUCAGUAGCGGGUCUGAGAGGAUGAUCCGCCACACUGGGACUGAGACACGGCCCAGACUCCUACGGGAGGCAGCAGUGGGGAAUUUUGGACAAUGGGCGCAAGCCUGAUCCAGCCAUGCCGCGUGUCUGAAGAAGGCCUUCGGGUUGUAAAGGACUUUUGUUAGGGAAGAAAAGGAUAGUGUUAAUACCAUUAUCUGCUGACGGUACCUAAAGAAUAAGCACCGGCUAACUACGUGCCAGCAGCCGCGGUAAUACGUAGGGUGCGAGCGUUAAUCGGAAUUACUGGGCGUAAAGCGAGCGCAGACGGUUUAUUAAGCAAGAUGUGAAAUCCCCGAGCUUAACUUGGGAACUGCGUUUUGAACUGGUAAGCUAGAGUAUGUCAGAGGGGGGUAGAAUUCCACGUGUAGCAGUGAAAUGCGUAGAGAUGUGGAGGAAUACCGAUGGCGAAGGCAGCCCCCUGGGAUAAUACUGACGUUCAUGCUCGAAAGCGUGGGUAGCAAACAGGAUUAGAUACCCUGGUAGUCCACGCCCUAAACGAUGUCAAUUAGCUGUUGGGCAACAUGAUUGCUUAGUAGCGUAGCUAACGCGUGAAAUGACCGCCUGGGGAGUACGGC
rnacentral:rRNA from 1 species